GGGGAUGUAGCUCAUAUGGUAGAGCACUCGCUUUGCAUGUGAGAGGUAUAGGGAUUGACAUCUUGUAUCUCCA
rnacentral:tRNA from 1 species